rnacentral:lncRNA from 1 species
CACGGAGUGGUUCAUCAUCCUCACUCGUCCUCGUCUGAUGAUGCGUGAGUAGUUCAUAUCAGACCUAUAGGUCCGUAGGCAGUAGCUAUAUGGAUUACUCUCUCGUUUUGCUUCUCAAUACAAUGGUCUCUUGGAGAUCUAUUUGAUGUAACUCUAUCUUUUGCGGUGUGUUUGUUAGGAUCCGAUGAAUUGUGAGUUUAUGAUCAGAUCUAUGAAAUUAUAUCCAUGCUUGAUUAUUAUAGCCUCAUAUUUCUUCU